rnacentral:rRNA from 1 species
UACGUAGGGUCCAAGCGUUAUCCGGAAUCACUGGGCGUAAAGGGCGCGUAGGCGGCCUGAUAAGUAGGGGGUGAAAUCCUGUGGCUUAACUGCAGGGCUGCCUCCUAGACUGUUAGGCUCGAGCACGGUAGAGGCAGAUGGAAUUCCCGGUGUAGCGGUGGAAUGCGUAGAGAUCGGGAAGAACAUCGGUGGCGAAGGCGGUCUGCUGGGCCGUUGCUGACGCUGAGGCGCGACAGCGUGGGGAGCAAACAGG